rnacentral:rRNA from 1 species
AUACGGAAGGUCCGGGCGUUAUCCGGAUUUAUUGGGUUUAAAGGGAGCGUAGGCGGGAGAUCAAGUCAGCUGUGAAAUGUAGAUGCUCAACAUCUGCACUGCAGUUGAAACUGGUUUUCUUGAGUGCGUAAGGGGCAGGCGGAAUUCGUCGUGUUGCGGUGAAAUGCUUAGAUAUGACGAAGAACUCCGAUCGCGAAGGCAGCCUGCCGGGCCGCGACUGAUGCUGAAGCUCGAAGGUGCGGGUAUCGAACAGGAUUAGAUACCCUGGUAGUCCGCACAGUAAACGAUGGAUACUCGCUGUCGGCGAUAUACGGUCGGUGGCCAAGCGAAAGCGUUAAGUAUCCCACCUGGGGAGUACGCCGGCAACGGUGAAACUCAAAUGAAUUGACGGGG